rnacentral:miRNA from 1 species
CAACAGAAGUUUAUUUGCUCACAGUUCUGGAGGCUGGAAGUCCAAGAUCCAGGUGCUGGCAGGGUUGGUUUCGCCUGACUCCUCUCUCCUUGGCUUGUAUUCAGCUGACUGCUUGCUGUAUCUUCACUGGUCCU